rnacentral:tRNA from 1 species
GGGGAUUUGGCUCAGUGGUAGAGUGCUUGCCUAGCAAGCACAAGGCCCUGGGUUCAGUUCCCAGCUCUG